AGCCUUUUGAACCUAUGUCAAGAUUUCGUCACACACCAGACCACAAGGGCUGAUGAGACUCCCAUGAUAAGUGAAGCG
rnacentral:pre_miRNA from 1 species